GAUGAACGCUCGCGGCAGGCCUAAUACAUGCAAGUCGAGGGAUAAGCCCUUUCGGGGGCAGAAACCGUCGCACGGGUGCGUAACGCGUAUGCAACCUACCUUUCACAGGGGGAUAGCCCGAAGAAAUUUGGAUUAAUACCCCAUAAUAUUAUUGGAUGGCAUCAUUUGAUAAUUAAAACUGCGGUGGUGAAAGAUGGGCAUGCGUCCUAUUAGCUAGUUGGAGUGGUAACGGCACCCCAAGGCUACGAUAGGUAGGGGUCCUGAGAGGGAGAUCCCCCACACUGGUACUGAGACAGGGACCAGACGCCUACGGGAGGCAGCAGUGAGGAAUAUUGGUAAAGGGUCGGAAGACUGAACCAGCCAUGCCGCGUGCAGGAAGAAUGCAUUAUGGGUUGUAAACUGCUUUUAUAUGAGAAGAAUAAGGCGUACGUGUACGUUGAUGACGGUACCAUAUGAAUAAGCAUCGGCUAACUCCGUG
rnacentral:rRNA from 1 species